rnacentral:misc_RNA from 1 species
UUGAGCCUUUAAUAACUAUGACUUUACCGUUACACUAAACCCACCCUUCCAUUUACCCCAAAAUGGAAUGACAAAUUUUUGGAUGAUCAAUGAGCAAAGAAUUGACAAAUGUCAUAACAUCCUACUAUCAUGUGCUGUUCCAUUACCCAUAGUUAUACAUGGUUUGAUCAUAAUCAUGUAUGGUUGUAAAGAGACAUAAUUUGACAAGUAGCUACAGAGGAUCAAAACAGAUUGCUAUCAACAAACAUAAUAAGAGCCAGAUAUCAAAAGCAUAGAGACGAUAAUUCAUUAACUUGGGCAUACCAGAACAGCAUUAAUACGAA